UACGAAGGGGGCUAGCGUUGUUCGGAAUUACUGGGCGUAAAGCGCACGUAGGCGGAUUGUUAAGUUAGGGGUGAAAUCCCAGGGCUCAACCCUGAGACUCGUCUUAAUACUGGCAAUCUCGAGUCCGAGAGAGGUGAGUGGAAUUCCGAGUGUAGAGGUGAAAUUCGUAGAUAUUCGGAAGAACACCAGUGGCGAAGGCGGCUCACUGGUCCGGUACUGACGCUGAGGUGCGAAAGCGUGGGGAGCAAACAGG
rnacentral:rRNA from 1 species